GAUGAACGCUGGCGGCGUGCCUAACACAUGCAAGUCGAACGAAGCACCUUACCUGAUUCUUCGGAUGAAAGUUUGGUGACUGAGUGGCGGACGGGUGAGUAACGCGUGGGUCACCUGCCCUGUACAGGGGGAUAACAGCUGGAACCGGCUGCUAAUACCUCAUAAGCGCACGAGGAUACAUCUCCUUGUGUGAAAAACUCCGGUGGUACAGGAUGGGCCCGCGUCUGAUUAGCUGGUUGGCAGGGUAACGGCCUACCAAGGCAACGAUCAGUAGCCGGUCGGAGAGGAGGAACGGCCACAAUGGAACUGAGACACGGUCCAAACUCCUACGGGAGGCAGCAGAGGGGAAUAUUGCACAAUGGGGGAAAACCUGAUGAAGCAACGCCGCGUGAGUGAAGAAGUAUUUCGGUAUGUAAAGCUCUAUCAGAAGGGAAGAUAAUGACGGUACCUGAUGAAGAAGCACCGGCUAAAUACGUG
rnacentral:rRNA from 1 species